AAUCACCAUAGGAAGAAGAUUCCACAGUAGCCUGUGAUUCCAGAAGAAUGAAAGACAUGUGGAGCAGCUAUGGACCAAGUUAACUAGAAGCCAACUUAGAUUAGCCAUUCUUCAGCCACAGACAUGCAGCACGUGGUUGGGUGCAGCUUGCAAUCACAAAUCAAAACGGAAGAGGAAGAGGACAACUGUAUAAAGCAGCGUGAUUUAAGUUGAUCUGUGGGACAAAGAGUUAAGCCACAAAUAUUUGGGGAGAGAGAUAUUCAAACAUCCCAACAACUUGGAGCAGCAUGGGAUUUCUAAAGAAGCUGACAAAGGAGAAAAGGCCCAAGAAAGCAACUCUGAAUCAAAAAGCCAUUAACUCUUUGAGAAUGUCUUACUGGUCUUACUCUGACCAGUAAGAAAGAGUAGACAGAACAAUAAAACUUUAUCUUUUUUCCCUUAUGUGCACUACUCUGGGACAUUUUCUCUCAACUGCUUGUCCAGAUAUGUCCUGUGGCUCCCUAUUAAGUGAUGGCACCUGUUAUACAGCUGCGUG
rnacentral:lncRNA from 1 species